rnacentral:rRNA from 2 species
AGUUUUUGAACGCAAGUUGCGCCCGAAGCCAUCCGGUUGAGGGCACGUCUGCCUGGGCGUCACGCAUCACGUCGCCCCACCAAUC